rnacentral:rRNA from 1 species
CGUGUAGGCGAUUUAGUAAGUCAGGGGUGAAAUUCCAAGGCUCAACCUUGGAACUGCCUCUGAAACUACUAGAAUUGAGUUCGGAAGAGGAAAGCGGAAUUUCCGGUGUAAGGGUGAAAUCUGUAGAUAUCGGAAAGAACACCAGUGGCGAAGGCGGCUUUCUGGUCCGAAACUGACGCUGAGACGCGAAAGCUAGGGGAGCGAACAGGAUUAGAUACCCUGGUAGUCC